AUUGAACGCUGGCGGCAGGCCUAACACAUGCAAGUCGAACGAGUGGCGGACGGGCGGGUAAUGUCGGGGAAACUGCCUGAUGGAGGGGGAUAACUACUGGAAACGGUAGCUAAUACCGCAUACCAUCAGAUGUGCCCAGAUGGGAUGAGCUAGUAGGUGGGGUAAUGGCUCACCUACGCGACGAUCCCUACCUGGUCGGAGAGGAUUACCACCCACACUGGAACUGGGACACGGGCCAGAGUCCUACGGGAGGCGGCAGUGGGGAAUAUUGCACCAUGGGCGCAAGCCUGAUGCAGCCAUGCCGCGGUUAUGAAGAAGGCCUUCGGGUUGUAAAGUACUUUCAGCGGGGAGGCUUUACCCGCAGAAGAAGCACCGGCUAACUCCGUGCCAGCCGCCGCGGUAAUUC
rnacentral:rRNA from 1 species